CACGUACUGUGCGAACGUUAUUCGGAAUCACUGGGCAUAAAGGGUGCGUAGGCGGCUUGGCAAGCCAGGUGUGAAAUCCCACAGCUCAACUGUGGAACUGCGCUUGGAACUGUCAGGCUUGAGUGAGAUAGGGGUGUGCGGAACUUCCAGUGGAGCGGUGAAAUGUGUUGAUAUUGGAAGGAACGCCGGUGGCGAAAGCGGCACACUGGGUCUCAACUGACGCUGAGGCACGAAAGCUAGGGGAGCGAACAGG
rnacentral:misc_RNA from 1 species